GACAGAGGUGCCAAGCGUUAGGCGGAAUCACUGGGCUUAAAGCGUGUGUAGGUGGAUUUGUAAGUACCUUGUGAAAUCCCACGGCUCAACCCGUGGAACUGCUCGGUAUACUGCGAAUCUUGAGCCACUUAGGGCUACCGGAACAAAUGGUGGAGCGGUGAAAUGCGUAGAUAUCAUUUGGAACGCCAAUGGUGAAAACAGGUAGCUGGGAGUGUGCUGACACUGAGACACGAAAGCCAGGGGAGCGAACGGG
rnacentral:rRNA from 1 species